rnacentral:lncRNA from 1 species
CCUCAAAGAAUAUGGCUGCCUAAAUAUGGUUCCCAAUCAGAGACAACGAGAAUCACCUGCCUCUGAUUGAGAACCGCCUCAGGCAACCAUAGACUUUACUAGACAACCCUACUAAGCCACAAUCCCGAUACCUACUAAAACCCCAAUACAUAAACACAACACAAAAUAAACCCAUGUCACACCCUGGCCUGACCAAAUAAAGAAAGAAAACACAAAAUACUAAGACCAGGGCGUGACAAUUGUAAUCACUGUUAAAUGUAUAUUUUUAUGAUAUUGCUGCAAAAUGUACCUUCCUUAAAAUUCGGCUUGUUACUAUGAUUGGUGCGUUGUAUGUCCGACCAAUUAAAAACACCCUCUCUCUCUGGUGUUCCAGAGUGACGUUCCUACAGCCCAGAGGAAGAGGUUCACCAGGGUAGAGAUGGCUAGAGUCCUCAUGGAGAGGAACCAGUACAAGGAGAGACUGAUGGAAUUACAGGAGGCUGUUAGGUGGACAGAGAUGAUCAGAGCCUCCAGAGAAAAACCCUUCCCUUACUGAGAAGAAGAAAUCCCAGCUUCUGGCAAUUUCUGCUUAAAGACUGCUGAGAGGGAGAGGUCUAUGUCAGCUGAUUGUACCUCCUUCAUGUCCUCUCAGAAGUUGUAUUUGUUUACAGGAAAAUGUAUGGACAAGUGCUUCGUUCUGCAAUAGGCCUAUAACCUGUUGUAGUGCGGAGAUUUAAAUAUGUCCAACUCUUUAUUAAUGCGCAUUCUUGUGAGAUCUACUGUCCAUUACAGUAUGAUGUGUAGACAUAUGAAGAAAAUAAUGAACAAUAUAAUUGCAUGCUUCUUUUGAUCAACUGACAGAGGUGUCCUCCUUCAUCCCUGUGAGUUUUACUGUGAUUAACUGUCUUAACAUGGGGCUCUUUCCUCUUACUGUGCUGUGA